rnacentral:rRNA from 1 species
UCACCGAGUUUAUUAGACUGAUGGGUGGCAGGCCUCCAAAAACAAUACUAACAGAUCAAGCGCGGGCUAUGGAGGUCGCUAUAUAUAGAACAAACGAUGCCUGGUACCACACACCGCUGGUGUAAGUGGCAUGUGCUUCGGAAGGCGAAAGAGCACCUCGGGCCGCAUUACACGAAACGAAGUGAUUUUAGGGCGGCGUUCCACAAGGUUGUCAAUGAAAUGCUAACUGUCGAUGAGUUCGAAGCUGCUUGGGCUGAUCUACUUGACAGAUACAAGCUCCACAACAACACCUUCCUGAUCCAGAUUUUCGAGGUUAUGCACAAGUGGGCAAAACCUUAUUUUAGUGGCAAGUUCUGUGCGAAGCAAACCAGUACGCAAAGGAGCGAAAGUGCGAACCAUUUGUUGAAGGGCUACAUUCCCCCGGCUUGCCCCAUGAACCUAUUUGUGAAACAAUACAGCAAGUUGCAGUUCGACCGAGAAGCUGAAGAAGGGUUCCAAGAGAAGAGAACAAGGCUGGGCGGUGUAGUUCUCCGAUACAAUUUUCCUCUGGAAGAGCAUGCGAGCCAGGUGUACACCCGGACGAUGUUUGAGAUGUUUGGUCAGGCUUUGUACCGUGCGGGAAGAUAUGAUGUCGAGGAAGUCGAACGAGGCACGAGGUACCAUGUGCGGCACAUUGAAGCUGAGAAGCGAGAGAAGUGGUGCCGCGAGAUGCAUGCUGUCGAUGUCCAUGAAGGUGGCGCUCGGUACACAUGCGAAUGCAGCUUGUUUGAGCACAUGGGGAUGCUUUGUUGCCAUGCUAUCGAGGUUCUUCUUCAUUUGGGGUGCGGAAGAUACCUAGCUUUCAUGUAAUGAAGCGAUGGACAAUAGAUGCCCGCGACAACUUGCCGCUUCACCUCAUCCAUUACCAGAAAGAUCAAGGCCCUCCGUGAUUGUCAUCCUACCGGCAUACUGCACUACACCUGACAGCACUCGAGUUUGUGCAGCUCGGUGACAGCAAUGUUGAUGCAUUCGAUAGAGCAAUGGACAUUUUAAUUGCAGGCAAGGCUGAACUGACCGUUUUGGCAGCGAUCAAAGAUGGGAAAAGUUUGGUUGACCAAACCCAAGUUGGAGAGUCAGCCAGUCCAACCAUGACUAUGAUGGCAGACGGCGCGCAUCAAGAAGAUGAGCGUUCUGAGAUGUUCAUCUCAACUGAAUGUGGCCUUGGAUCUGUCUCUGUGGGAGGUGAUUCCAGGCAUCCAUUAUCCACUUUAUUGGCCCCUGAUAGGAAGAAGCAGAAGGGUAGGCCGACAACGGCGAGGGACAAGCCUGGAUAUGAGAUCAAAUACGCGCGAUCAAGAUUUUGCACUGUUUGUAGAGAGAAAGGGCACAAGAGCACGACGUGCCCCCGCAGGGGGGACCUUCCUAAGAAACCCCGCAAAAUCCCUACAUGUGGCAAUUGUGGUGUGGCUGGGCACAAGAAAACAAGUUGUUUCAACCCAGUGUUGCCGUUUGUGAAGAGGCCUCGCGACGGACCAGUGGAAUGAUGUCCAUUUCAUGAUAUGAUGCAAACUUUGAUUGAAUCAGUCGAGAGUAUUAUGUUUUCUGCUUGUUAGGACUGUUGGCUUGUAAUUCUAAUAAAAGUUGUGCCUGUCUUUGGGGGACUGGACGUAGGUUGCUGUUUUUUAACUGUUAUUUCGGUGUUUUAGUUUCUGAGCCUCAGGAUGUGCUGUAGGUUUGUUAACUUUUCAAGUGAUGUUUAAUUUCAGCUACUUAGGACUCAUUUGGGUUUGCUGUGAGGUGGUUUGGAUUAAAAACGACAUGCUAGCUCGUUGUGUGGUUUGCUGUAGAUGGAAGCUUGUUUUUGUCAUCUG